UACGAAGGGGGCUAGCGUUGCUCGGAAUCACUGGGCGUAAAGGGUGCGUAGGCGGGUCUUUAAGUCAGGGGUGAAAUCCUGGAGCUCAACUCCAGAACUGCCUUCGAUACUGGCGAUCUUGAGUCCGGAAGAGGUGAGUGGAACUCCUAGUGUAGAGGUGGAAUUCGUAGAUAUUAGGAAGAACACCAGUGGCGAAGGCGGCUCACUGGUCCGGUACUGACGCUGAGGUGCGAAAGCGUGGGGAGCAAACAGGG
rnacentral:rRNA from 1 species